GUUCGGGGGGGAACAGGGGUUGACAGGUGGUGCAUGGUUGUCGUCAGGCUUCGUGUCGUGAGAUGUUGGGUUAAGUCCCGCAACGAGCGCAACCCUCGCCUCUAGUUGCCAGCAUUCGGUUGGGCACUCUAGAGGGACUGCCGGCGACAAGUCGGAGGAAGGUGGGAUGACGUCAAAUCAUCAUGCCCCUUAUGACCUGGGCUACACACGUGCUACAAUGGGCGGUACAAAGGGCUGCGAACCCGCGAGGGGGAGCGAAUCCCAAAAAGCCGCUCUCAGUUCGGAUUGCAGGCUGCAACUCGCCUGCAUGAAGCCGGAAUCGCUAGUAAUCGCGGAUCAGCAUGCCGCGGUGAAUACGUUCCCGGGCCUU
rnacentral:rRNA from 1 species